rnacentral:ncRNA from 2 species
UUCACCCUGCGUGACUGGCGACUCUAGGCCUGGGGCCUAGGUGGGUUUACCACAAGGAAGCGCAGGGUUCCGGCGGUUCGGUUCGUCCCAUCCGGGGCGCGGCCGCGCCGCCCGCCGUUCGCCUGGGCAGCCGUU